UGACCCAUCGUCUAAUGGCAGGACUACAGAUUUUGGUUCUGUGUAUGUUGGUUCGAAUCCAGCUGGGUCAACAA
rnacentral:tRNA from 1 species